CCUACGGGAGGCUGCAGUGGGGAAUAGUCUACAAUGGUCGAAAGACUGAUAGUGCGACGCCGCGUGAACGAAGAAGCCCUUCGGGGUGUAAAGUUCUUUUAUAUGUGAGCAAUGGGUUCUAUAUGAAUAGUAUGGGAUCAGAGAUAUUAGCAUAUGAAUAAGCAACGGCUAACUCCGUGCCAGCAGCCGCGGUAACACGGGGGUUGCAAGCGUUGUCCGGAAUUACUAGGCGUAAAGGGCAGGUAGGCGGAUCCAUAAGUUUGAUGUUAAAGGCAGCGGCUCACCCGCUGUACGGCAUCAGAUACUGUGGAUCUGGAAUGCGGUUGGGGAAGACAGAAUUCCUGGUGUAGCGGUGGAAUGCGCAGAGAUCAGGAGGAAUACCAAAGGCGAAGGCAGUCUUCUAAGCCGAUAUUGACGCUAAACUGCGAAGGUGUGGGUAUCAAACAGGAUUAGAUACCCCGGUAGUC
rnacentral:rRNA from 1 species